rnacentral:lncRNA from 1 species
CCGCAGAGCACUUCCGGGUCAGGCCGCCGGCGUUAAGGGUGUGGUCGUUAACCGGGCUAGAGUAGGGUGUUUGGUCGCGGACUUCCUCUAGGCAGCGAGUUUCAAAGCGUCCGAGGUUAUGCUGAAGAUUCAUUUGCAAAGUUACCUCAGGCCCAUGAUGUAAUCUUCAGAAAAGAACAAGAGAAAAUAUCUGGAGAGAAAAAGAGCCAAUCCAGGCCUUGCAUAUGGAAAUGGCUAGGGAUAUGGGCACUUGAAUUUCUAUGGAGAGUCCUCAAGAAAAUUGGAGAUGUAAAGGGAACAUUUCAUGCAAGGAUGGGCAUAACAAAGAACAGAAAUGGUAAGGACCUAACAAGCAAAAGAGAUUAAGAAGAGGUAGCAAGAAUACACAGAAGAACUAUACAAAAAAGAUCUUAGUGACCCAGAUAACCAUGAUGGUGUUGUCACUCACCUAGAUCCAGACAUCCUGGAGUGUGAGUUAAGUGGGCCUUAGGAAGCAUUACUACAAAUAAAGCUACUGAAGUUGAUGGAAUUCCA